CCCCCCGUAGCUCAGUGGAAGAGCACGUGGUUUCUACCCACAUGGCCGGGGGUUCGAAUCCCUCCGGGGGGA
rfam:Frondihabitans sp. Leaf304 contig_3, whole genome shotgun sequence.